rnacentral:rRNA from 1 species
GAUGAACGCUGACAGAAUGCUUAACACAUGCAAGUCAACUGUGGCGGACGGGUGAGUAACGCGUAAAGAACUUGCCUCACAGCUAGGGACAACAUUUGGAAACGAAUGCUAAUACCUGAUACUGUGAGAGAGCUUUGCGUCCCAUUAGCUAGUGGGAGAGGUAACGGCUCACCAAGGCGAUGCUGGGUAGCCGGCCUGAGAUGGUGAUCGGCCACAAGUGGACUGAGGACCGGCCCUUACUCCAUCGGGAGGCAGCGGUGGGGAAUAUUGGACAAUGGACCAAAGUCUGAUGCAGCAAUUCUGUGUGCACGAUGAAGUUUUCGGAAUGUAAAGUGCUUUCAGUUGGGAAGCGGUACCAACAGAAGAAGUGACGGCUAAAUACGUGCCAGCAGCCGCGGUAAUAC